rnacentral:rRNA from 1 species
ACGCUCGACACCUACGGGAGGCAGCAGUGGGGAAUAUUGCACAAUGGAGGAAACUCUGAUGCAGCGAUGCCGCGUGAGGGAAGAAGGUUUUCGGAUUGUAAACCUCUGUCUUUGGGGACGAUAAUGACGGUACCCAAGGAGGAAGCUCCGGCUAACUACGUGCAAGCAGCCGCGGUAAUCUGAGCGGGCUGGCAAGGC